UGGGGAAUUUUGGACAAUGGGGGCAACCCUGAUCCAGCAAUGCCGCGUGUGUGAAGAAGGCCUUCGGGUUGUAAAGCACUUUUGUCCGGAAAGAAAACGCCGUGGUUAAUACCCGUGGCGGAUGACGGUACCGGAAGAAUAAGCACCGGCUAACUACGUGCCAGCAGCCGCGGUAAUACGUAGGGUGCAAGCGUUAAUCGGAAUUACUGGGCGUAAAGCGUGCGCAGGCGGUCCGCUAAGACAGAUGUGAAAUCCCCGGGCUUAACCUGGGAACUGCAUUUGUGACUGGCGGGCUAGAGUAUGGCAGAGGGGGGUAGAAUUCCACGUGUAGCAGUGAAAUGCGUAGAGAUGUGGAGGAAUACCGAUGGCGAAGGCAGCCCCCUGGGCCAAUACUGACGCUCAUGCACGAAAGCGUGGGGAGCAAACAGGAUUAGAUACCCUGGUAGUCCACGCCCUAAACGAUGUCAACUAGUUGUCGGGUCUUCAUUGACUUGGUAACGUAGCUAACGCGUGAAGUUGACCGCCUGGGGAGUAACGGUCGCAAGAUUAAAAA
rnacentral:rRNA from 1 species